rnacentral:rRNA from 1 species
UACAGAGGGUGCAAGCGUUGUUCGGAAUCACUGGGCGUAAAGGGUGCGUAGGCGGGUCUUUAAGUCAGGGGUGAAAUCCUGGAGCUCAACUCCAGAACUGCCUUUGAUACUGAAGAUCUCGAGUCCGGGAGAGGUGAGUGGAACUGCGAGUGUAGAGGUGAAAUUCGUAGAUAUUCGCAAGAACACCAGUGGCGAAGGCGGCUCACUGGCCCGGUACUGACGCUGAGGUGCGAAAGCGUGGGGAGCAAACAGG